rnacentral:rRNA from 1 species
UGGGGAAUCUUGCGCAAUGGGCGAAAGCCUGACGCAGCAACGCCGCGUGAGCGAAGAAGGCCUUCGGGUUGUAAAGCUCUGUCAGGAGGGACGAAGCCACUCGGGUGAACAGCCCAGAGGGUGACGGUACCUCCAGAGGAAGCCCCGGCUAACUACGUGCCAGCAGCCGCGGUAAUACGUAGGGGGCGAGCGUUGUCCGGAAUCGUUGGGCGUAAAGCGCGUGUAGGCGGCUUGGCAAGUCUGGUGUGAAAGCGCGAGGCUCAACCGCGAGGCUGCAGCGGAAACUGCCUUGCUAGAGUGCGGAAGAGGAGACUGGAAUUCCUGGUGUAGCGGUGAAAUGCGCAGAUAUCAGGAAGAACACCGGUGGCGAAGGCGGGUCUCUGGGACGGUACUGACGCUGAGACGCGAAAGCGUGGGGAGCAAACA